ensembl:lncRNA
CAUUUUUAUCCAGCACCUAGCACAGUGCCUAAGACAGAGAUGAGGCUCAGGAAAUGUAUAAAAGGAAAUGACAUACGAGGAAGCUGGGCCCAGGAAGGUGCAGUAACUCGCCUAAGGUCAUGCAGUUCACAGCCAGCAGAGUUGAGAUUGAAACGCCUCUGGCUUAACUACCACUUCACACUGCUUCUCAUCAAAGAAAAGACGCCAAGUUGUGGGCCCUGUGAGGGCAAAGCAGGCGAGAAGUUCUACACAGUACAACUCACAGAGCGCAUGUCUCAGAAGCAGCCCAGCAGCUUAUUGAAAAGCCCGGAUUCUUGUGAUGUACUGAAUCAGGAACUCUGGGAGACAGGGCCCAGAAACUGCAUUUUAACAGGCACUUUAGGGCGUUCUUCCGCGUGCUGAAGUUUGAGAACCACUAAUCUGGAAGCUCCACAAUGUACUGCAGAAGAGUCAUGGAAAACUUCUCUCUGUACGUCCUUCAGCAGCCAAACCCUGGACCCCUCAAAAGAGGAGACUCGAGUACACAGAAAUCUGUUGGAGCCCCAGUCCUGUGGCCCCAGCUUCCAAGGUCCCACAUCCAUAGAUUUAAUUGUGGAAAAGGCAGAUGGGAGAGGCCGGGUCCAGAGCCAAGUCUUGACCUGAGUUGAGACCACAGCAGACGUUAACACAAGGAAACACAGCUGAUGCAUGAGACUGAAUUUCUAGGGACAAAUCUUGACUCUUGGAGACCUCAGAAGGAAUUGAUGCAUUCUCAAAUGCUGGCUGAACCUGGGUUGGUCUAUUCAGUUGACAGGAUCCUAUGACUCUUUCCACAUCGUAUUAGAGCACUCCCUGUGAAGUAAGGACAAGAAUCAUGCUAACAGGGGAGAAAAACUGCCAUGUGGAAAUCCUGCACUCAACAUGUGAGGGGAGGUGAAAGCCAAGAAAUAGAAAGAUGUCCUUUCUGUAUGUGGCGAUGCUAAGGAAAUGCUGUCUCUACAUUGUUUAUCCGGAUCCACAGAAAAUGACUUUUGCGGUCACACUUCAUUUUGUAGCAUUUUUUGCAAAUCAUUUGGAUUAAGGUAGCACACAACCAUGGUGUUGAACUAAGUGGAAUGUGUGGCUGGAUAUGGAAGUUUACUGACAACCCAACCAGAGUUGGGAAGCUUGAAAGCUCUGCUGUGGCUCCGGGAGCUGUCUGUGAACCCAGGUGAAGUUUUGGCUCAGCUAAGAGGUAACUUGAUCCAAGUAUAAGCAAGAUAGAAUUAUCAUGGUCCGGAGCAGAUGGAUGGGGUGAAUCACAUGAAAUCAGCCUAAAUUUAUCAGAAGCCAUCAGCAAAGUUUCUUCUAUUUAUGUCUAGUGUUCUAGUUAUCUAUUGCCGCAUAUCAAAGUAUCGCAAAACUUAGUGGAUUAAAACAGCUAUUUUAUUAUAUUUCAUGAUUUGCAUGGGUCAGGAAUGCAGGCCGGGCUUGGCUGAACAAUUCUGUUCCCCGUGGCACGAACGACGGUUACUCAGAGGUAUUCAGCUGGCAGAUGGGCUGGUGGGAAGGGUCUGAGAUGGCUUCACUCACACAUCAGGCUCACGGGUGGACCUUGCUGGAAGGUUGGGCUCAGUGGGCACUGUUGAUCAGAGAACCAAGUCUCCUGUGAACAAAGUGGAAGCUACGUGGCUUUUUAUGACCUAGCUUUGGAGUCAUAUAGGGUCACCUCUGCCAUACUACACGUCAAAGCAGUCACAAACACACCCAGAUUCAAGGGGAAGGGACUCAAACCCAACCCCUCAAUGGUAGGCUGUGUAAAGUGCAACUUCCAAUUUGGGUUAGAAGCUAAGAGGGGAGGUGCGAGCCUGCAGGCUUUCUCUGAGUCUGAGAUCAUAGCUGCAGCUGCUUUGCCUGGGGAUUUGUGACCUAGGGCACAGGCAGGGAGGGAACUGGGAAGGAGGGAUCUGACGUGGCUAAAUCUCUGCUCUCCUGACAGUGCUCCCUGCUCCCGCUUGUGCUUGGCUGGCAGACAGCUCUGCACCCAGGGCUGCAGUCCUGACUAAAGAGCUGAGUGAAGGGUUUCUCCUGCUCCAGACACUGGGCCCCUGGAACUGAGAAGAGGGGAGGAGGCCAGCGUGGAAGGGUGUGUCUGAUCUGAACAAUGGGCAAAUCAAGCAGGGAUCAGGAGCCUGAGAAAUAAUGCCCAGAGUUGCUCAUUACAUGGGAGACCUGCAACUGAGGUUAGGCUCCAUGGAGCACCGCCACCGAAGCCUGCCUCUCCCAAGGCAAGGCCACCACGCGGGCGUCAGACCUGAUGUUACUGUCUGAUCAUGGAGCAGAGGAGAACAGCACGGCCUCCUACACACCUGGGGAUGAGUGCCUGGCACAGGUGUGUCCUCAGAAAAGAUCAAGGAGAAAAUAAACGGAUCAAUUUAAUGUUUGUGUUUUCCUUCUUUCCUUCCUCCCUUUCUUCCUUCCUUUCCUUCCUUCCUUUCUUUCUUUUUUUGUCGUUUACUACAUUAGAGACCUAGAAAUGGAUCACAGCGGGGGGGUUGGUAAUGAAAGGAGGGGAAAGAAACAGAC